GGAAGCCUCGGAGCAUUCGGCGGUGGUAUAAUGCCGUACCAGUCGGGUAUUUGGACGUCUGGAAGGUCCAUUUCCCUCAGGAAUAGUGGAACAUCAUGAGUUGAGGAGAUGGUGUGUGAGGCUCCAUUGUAGGUGGCUGUCAGCGAGAGCGGAAAACCCCAACGGUAUCUUACGUUUCUAGCUCGUAGCUGGUCCGUGAUGGGCUUCAGUACUCUACGAGCUUGUAGGGUCAUCCAUGAUAGGUCAGGAUGGAUUGCAAUUGG